CAUAUAUACAUAUAUAUAUCUAUAUAUAUAUAUAGAUAUAUAUAUACAAAAGCGACGAUGAGCUUUCUGAGCUCACCGAUGGAGUCCUCACAACCUCAGAAUCCCGACGAGUACUCUGCCUCUUCGACAGUUAUCACCUUCGGACGCCCAAUUCCUCUUCUUCGUGGGCCAAUUCGAGCCGGUCAAUCCGAAAAUCCCUCGGCAGGUCCGUCCAUGCUUGCAUUUAGGGAUCCCCAAGCGUGGGAAUCUGCAUACAAAAUAUGCGAGUUGAAGAUUAUUGAACAGUGCGAGGCCGGCGCGAGGAUUGGCUGUUCAAUAAUUGCUUCCGACAAAUGCAAGCCGCGGUGGUGGGGAUUUUUGAUGCAAUCGAAGAAGGGGUUGGAUUUGAAGGCGAGGGAGAUGUGCGAAGAGCGAGAAAUGGAGGCUUGCUUGGCUGCUGCAAAGGAGAAGUGUGUUGGUUUCGCGAAGGAGAAGUGUUCUAAGCCGUUCAUGGAUGCUAGAAUUGGAAUUUUUCAAAAGGUCUGAUCAGUGGACAAUGUAGAGGCUAGUUCCGUGCUUAAUUAUUGGAAAUAUCUGUUCGGACGGCCAUACAUGUUCAUGUACCACAAUCCGGGUCAGUUUCUUGGAUGGAUUUCCCAUUUCUUCAUGGCUUUUGAUGUCAUCCACCUAAUGCACUGCGUCGGUAGGAUCAAAAUCAACUCAUCAAGGCAGUCUUCAUGUUAGAGUUACCUGGACUAAUAGCUUGAAUAUUGAACUCUUAGAUCUAGUAGUAUUUAUCUGUGAUGUCCCACAUCGGUUGGGGAGGAGAACGAAACACCCUUUAUAAGGGUGUGGAAACCUUUCCCUAGCAGACACGUAUUGAAGCCUUGAGGCGAAGCCCGAAAAGGAAAGCCCAAAGAGGAAAAAUCUGCUAACGGUGGACUUGAGCUGUUACAUUAUCGAGGUAGAAAUCAUGAGUUUGAAUUCCUGCAAUACUGUUUUCUCUCGAUUUUAUAUGAACUGUCUUGGCGUUGAAUCACGUGUAUCGAAAUUAAUAUUUCAGCCUAACAGCUUGAACUAGGCUCUUUGAUCUA